rnacentral:lncRNA from 1 species
AAAAAAAAAAAGGUUAAAAAAAGGGAAGCAAAUUAGCUUGCAAAGGAAAUCUAAAUCUGAGAAUAGUAUUCCUGCUGUGUAUAUAGUUUUCCUGCUGAUGGAGGCAUUAAAUGCCAGGCUGAUAUCAGUGUGUGGAUUUGGGGAUUCUGAUGACAAAGCUGUUUCUGCCUUCUGGUUUUACCUUCUUGACCCCCGGGGCUUCACCGUGGUCACCUACUUUACCUAUCUCAUAUAUCAAAAUCAUCUGUCGGGAAACAAUCUGUAAAUCUUUCACAACAGGCACAAAUGGAAAAUCUCAUGAAUAUUUAUAUUUUGUCUAGAAUAAAUGCUUUGAGACAAUGAAGUACAAUGGUGAAAUUUCUGCAUGAGUGGGUGUUUCUUUGAUUCAAAAACUUGUUCUGACACUUUGCUAAGCCUGAAGCAUGUAUUUUGCUUCUAUAUCCUCUGUGGACCAGCCUCUUAUUCAUGUCUUCUGCCUACAGCUGUCAAGAAGGCAUGGCUCCUUCAGUGAGAUGUACACAGACAUGCCGAGAUAGAAUGGGAUGAUGCAUCUAGGGCAAACCUGUCUUGGGGCUGUGCCUGCCCCGGAGCACCUCUCUGGUUCCUGGGAUGCUAAGACUUGGUGGAGUUGUGUAAUCAACAGAGGACAGAUUAUGAAUCUAAAGCCAAGCUACCUUCAAAAGUAUGGUUCCAGCAAACCUUUCAUUAUCUCCUUACAUUGCUCAUGCCUCGUGUCUUUCUAAUUCCUAACCAAAAUCUGAUUCAGAACCAAAUUCUUUCUCAUACAUUCAAGAUAUUGCUAUGUUGUUCCACGACUUGGGUACUUCCUGUCAUCUGUCAAAUCCACUCUAAAUUCUCAGAAUGGCACUGAAUUACUCAAGGUGACAUUAAAGAAAUGGGGAACAAAUCUAUUAUUCAUUAGAAGCAUGAUUUGUGUAGUCUUCUGGGACAGUUAGGGGCUUCAAAGUGAUUUCUGCUGAAACCUGUGUCUCUUUACUUAAACCUACAGAAUGCAGUAUGUAACUAAAAGUAGAACAAAGCUUGACCUUCAUUUGAUAAAACUCCAGGUCAUGUCUUUCUCAGAUCUGCAUAGCAUGUUAGUCAUUUCGGAAAUGUCUGUGCAAAAGUUGGUGAAGCAAGUUUUAUUAGGCCUAAACUGAUCCAGUGAACCUCAUCAGUGAUCAACACCGAGAACACCAAGAGGAGAGAUUUAUGGGAACACUCAGCAAUGCGCAGGAAUUUCCACUGACCUAAAUUUAUGGUUGCUUAGUUUCCAACAGAGCCUCACAUGACUCUCAAAUCACGAAUACUCAUCUUAUGGGAACCAAAGUACCUCUCAAGUCAUGGGACCUUGUCUAGGGCUAUGAAAUCAGGACUGAGAUAAUAAUCAGCUGGAAUCUAGCCCACUCCAGCAUCCCAUAAAGCUGGUGUCUGUUCUUUUGUGAACAGGCCACUCUGCUCCACCUCCUCAGAACUGGG